rnacentral:lncRNA from 1 species
GGUCUGGAGCUGGCAUGUCAGUUACUGCUAGUAGUUCUUUGUUAAUUUAUGAAUCAUAUUCGUUUUGUGUAGUUUCUUUUGUUUACUAUUUUGUCAUCGGACUCGGAUUUCUUUUAAACUGAGUUUCUCUGUGCAUAUUGUUGUGUGUUUGUUUAUUCUACAUGAGCUAGAUAUAAUUGUAUAGCGGGAGGGUUGAGAUCUAACAAAGCAUGUUUAGCCCCGCCGUAUUUUUGCGCCUGUCCCAAGACAGUAGACUCUGAUCUUUGUUAGUUUUUUUAUGUUUUUUUUUGUCUAAGUUAAGUGUGACGUCCAUUUUCACAUUACUAGUAUAUAUUUUUAUUUAGAGACCAGCUGAAGCCCGGAUUUUCUCGUUGUGUUGAAGACUCAUUGGUGGCC